CUACGGGAGGCUGCAGUGAGGAAUAUUGCACAAUGGGCGGAAGCCUGAUGCAGCAACGCCGCGUGGAGGAUGACGCAUUUCGGUGUGUAAACUCCUUUUAUAUGUCAAGAAAAUGACGGUAGCAUAUGAAUAAGCACCGGCUAACUCCGUGCCAGCAGCCGCGGUAAUACGGAGGGUGCAAGCGUUACUCGGAAUCACUGGGCGUAAAGGACGCGUAGGCGGGUUGGAAAGUCAGGUGUGAAAUCCUACAGCUUAACUGUAGAACUGCACUUGAAACUUCUAAUCUAGAGUAUGGGAGGGGGAGAUGGAAUUAGUGGUGUAGGGGUAAUAUCCGUAGAUAUCACUAGGAAUACCUAAAGCGAAGGCGAUCUCCUGGAACAUUACUGACGCUAAGGCGUGAAAGCGUGGGGAGCAAACAGGAUUAGAUACCCGGGUAGUC
rnacentral:rRNA from 1 species